CUGGAUCGUCUUUGCCUUCUUCACUACAGCUGAGACGCUGACGGACAUUGUACUCUCCUGGUGAGGUCCAGCAUCCCUCUCUGCAUCUUAGGACCCAAGCCUCUUUCUUUCUCUCAUCAGACAGAAGAUUGGACCCCACAGUGGAGUCCCCCCAACUCCUGACAGUCUCUUGGGGUCUUUAAUAUUUCACUCCUUGUCUGAUUUGAUCAGCAGAAUAAGAGUAAAUAGAUGGGCAUGGUGGCAUACAUCUGUAAUCCCAGUGACGGGGAGGAUGAGGCAGGAGAAUUAAAGUUCAAGGCCAAUCUGGGAAACUAAGUGAAGCGCUGUCUCAAACAAAAAAUAAAAAUACUAGGGAUAUACCUCAGUGGUGGAGUGCCCCUGGGUUCAAUCCCCACUAUAACCCCCACAUUUCUUUCUGGGGGCAGCCAAAGCCGUAGUGGAAUUUAGGAACCUUACUUUUGUUAUACUUACUGUGACCUUAGGCAAAUCACUGUCUAAGCCUUGGUUCCUUAUUUGUGAAAUAGACAUGGGAUCCAAUCCUAUAGACAUGGGAUGCUUGUAUUUCCAACCAUUUCCCAGGUAAUUCUAGACUGUGUGCAGUUGAGAACAGGGAAUAUGUCUGAAUCAUCUGCAUAGUCACAGCAGGAGCUCAAAAAUAUCUGCUGAAUGAGCAAAUGCCUCUUGGAAAGGAGAACUAAUAAAACAGUACUCUGCAAAUCAAGAGAGUUUUGCCUAGGGGUGGGAGACAGAAAGACCACAGCAUUUAUAGAUAAGCCCCUUGUUUUUUAAGAACAAUAAUAUUAAUAGAAAUUAGUAAUUAGACAAGAUAUGUCUUCAAGAUUGAGGAUAGUGGUAAGUCUAGAUCCUUUUGACACAGGGAAGGAGAGGGCUUUAAUGAGGGCUUUGUGAGGACACUGGAGUCUUCUUGAAAAAGUUUGGCAGUGGGGGAAAUGGAAAACAGUCCUUAAGAGUGAGGGGUGCUGGGUAUGUCUGCCUAUAGUCUAAGCUACUUGGGAGGCUGCAGCAAGAGGAUCAUUUGAGCCUUGGAGUGUUUUUUGUUUUGUUUUGUUUGUUUUGUUUUUGUUUUGUACCAGGGAUUGAACCCAGGAACAGUUAUCCACUUAGCCCCAGCACCGCCCCCCCUUUUUUUUUAAUGAGACAAGGUCUUGCUAAGUUGCUUAGGGUCUUACUAAGUUGCUGAGGCUGGUCUUAAAUUUGACUUGCAAUCCUCCUGCCUUAAGCUCCCAAGCCACUGGGAUUACAGGCAUACACCACUGCUCCUAACCUAAGGGAAAAAAAAAUUUUAAUUGAGAAAAUUGAGGAUGGUCAUGGUGGUGCACACCUGUACUCCCAAUGACUCAGAAGGCUGAAGCAGGAGUAUCGCAAAUUCAAGACCAGCCUAGUCAACUUUGUGAGACCCUGUCUCAAAAAUAAAAAGGGGUAAGGAUGUAGCUCAGUGGUAGACCACCUCUGAAUUCAAUCCCCAGUACUAAAAGAAAGAAAAAAUAUAUAUAGGUGUGAGUAUGUGUGUAUGUGUAUCACAGCAGCAAAUACUGGGAUUCAGAACCCAUCCCAGCCCUCUUCAUAGAAGGGGCAGGAAGAGAAGGGGGUGAGGAACAGACAUUAACCUGAAAGGUUAGGGAGUCUGCCUUGAUCUUGACUCCAGGGCAGAAAAAUAGGGGUCUUCUAUAGGAAUGAGAGGGCAGGACUUGAAGAGAGAAGAGAGCAAGGAGAGCCAUUGCUGGGUAAAUUUCUUCUGAAAUCACAUCUUACCAUUUUUUGUGAACUCUCAGCUGAGUCUCCUAAUCCCCUUGGGAGCCUCAUGAGAACCCCAGUGCACUAAGGGGUGGGAGAUUUCCAGGGUUAAGCAGAGAUCACUGCUGCUGAGCCUAGCGUACCCCCUGACACCCUGCCCCAUGCUUUAUACUUGCCUCUGUCCCCCCAGGUUCCCCUUCUACUUUGAGCUCAAGAUUGCCUUUGUGAUAUGGCUUCUGUCCCCUUACACCAAGGGCUCCAGCGUACUCUACCGCAAGUUUGUGCACCCAACACUAUCCAACAAGGAGAAGGUUUGGCCCCAUUCAGCUUGCUUCCCAGCCUCCCCAAGCCAAGGCAGCCCUGCACCUGCAGCCACACAACCCUGUGCCAUACAUUCCUGGCCCUCCCUUUAGGUCUCCAGAACCUAAAGUGACCUGGCAAUGCCCCAGCCUCCUGGAGUGAGCAAAGAGCAGGGCCUCCACAGCAGUACCCGCCCCUGACCUCUUCCUCCUUCCCUUUAAAUCUCUCAGGAGAUCGAUGAGUACAUCACACAGGCCCGGGACAAGAGCUACGAGACCAUGAUGAGAGUGGGCAAGAGAGGCCUGAACCUGGCUGCCAAUGCCGCUGUCACAGCUGCUGCCAAGGUGAGAUGGGGUGGGCCCGGACUUCAAGGACCCCCACCUUGUUUGUCUCCUGCUCCUGGCCAGUCCCUUGGCAUCCACCCUAUCCUCAGGGCCAUGGAGACUUUGGUCUUGUGCAGCUUGGGCUACCAGUCCUAGCUCUGUGUCCAGCCAAGUCACUUCUGCUGUCCAGCCACAGUUUCCUCAGCUGACCACAGGGAAAGUAUGACCCGGCCUCUCAGUGAGCCUGGGUAAGGACAGUGCGGGGAAAGCACUGAGCCCAGGAGCUGCUGCCAGCACCAUGGUGACCUUUGUCUCAAACCCACCCCCACACCCCUGCUGUCUUGGUGUGUGGUGGUGACCCUAGGGCCAGGGGGUGCUGUCAGAGAAGCUCCGGAGCUUCAGCAUGCAGGACCUGACGCUGAUCCGAGACGAGGAUGCACUGCCUCUGCAGGGAACUGAAGGCCGCCUCCGAACUGCCCCUGGUGGCCUUCUAGACACCAUUGAGGACUUAGGUACAGGCAGGGGUCAGGGCCAUGGGGGAGGAACAGGGUGGAGGAAGCCAGGUGGGAGACCCUGGACCUUUGUUCUCCUUUCCUCCCCAUCAACCAGCUGAUGAGGCUGCCCUGAGUAUAAGGUCUAGCACAAACCAGACAGAUCCCCGGACAGAGACCUCAGAGGAUGACAUGGGAGACAAGGCCCCCAAGAGGGUCAAAUCCAUCAAAAAAGUGCCCAAAACUGAGGUGAGAGCAUGGGCCAGAGCUUGAGGAAGUGGAGAAGGGGUGGUGGCACUGGUCUGAGUCCUGUCUUCUUCUACACUCCACAGCCACUGGCUUCCAAGACACUAAAGACCAGGCCUAAGAAGAAGAGCUCUGGCGGGGGUGACUCAGCUUGAGGCCCCAUGCCCCCACACUGCGGAGCAAAGAGGGAGCCCAAGGAAGGGGCCACAGCCCUAGCCCCUGCUCUAUACUGUGCCAUCAGCCUAGGUGUCUCAGGCUCUGGGGCUCCCUCAGAUACUCGUUCCUGAGACCCACCCAGUGGCCACUCCUCUGGAGGGGGCUUGGAAAAGAGAAGAGAGGCCCAGCUGUGCGGGUUGUGGGUAGAGGUGGCCCCAGAGCUGAGCACUGAGCUCCCAAGGAGGGGAGGGCUCCUCAGCCCACACUGCUCUUCUCCCCACUCCAGUCCUGCCCUGCCCAUCCAGUGCCUUGCUGAAGACCAUGGCCAUCCCCUUCUUUGAGGCCCUGACAUGCCCCCCUGUUCUCCCCAGGAUGAGGGUUAGGGACAGUCACAGCCAGAUGUACCAAGGAAGGGGCCUGAAGGCACUGGGAGAAAGGGAGCAAAUAGGACAGGCCUUGAGGGACCUGGAUGGGGCUUCUAGACACAGCUUUUGAGUGAAGGACAUGAAUUUUGUGUGGAUUUAAAUGACUGAGAUGCCCUGAUCAGAGCUGCAUCUGGUAAGGCUGUGUGCUACAUGUCCCCCCUGAAAAAAGAGGGUAGGGUUCGGUGUGUGAGUGUUGAGUGUUAUUUUACUGGGUCUAGAGCUGGGGCCAGUUUGGGUUAAGGACUCUCCCUCUAGUGCUCACCUCCUUCCACUCUCAGCCCUGGUCUUUCCCCCUCUUCACUGUCCCUGCUAGUCUCUGAGCCUCAGAGGAUCCCAGCCCAGGUCAGGAUGGGGCUCUAAGGGACCUCUCUGCUCCCCCUCUAUCCUUGAUCCUUUUUGCCUCACCUACUCCUGUCCUGACUUCCUAGACCUCAGUCACUGCAGAAGCCCCGCUGAGCUGGCUCCUUCCUCUUCCCACUGGGUCCUUCUUUGCCCCAGGGUCCCAUUCUUAAGCCAAGCAGACCCCUGUCAGAGCCCAGCUCCAACCCUACCCCACCUCCCAUUUCUGCGUGGCUUCCAUCAGGGCCAAGAGGAACCUGUGACAAAAGAAAUGCAGGAGCAGAAGGACUCUCAAUUCUUUGUAAAGAUAGUGCCCAUUGGACCUUUGGCACUAGAUGAGCCAAUAAACCAAAUUCUGGCACCUCACUUA
rnacentral:lncRNA from 1 species